rnacentral:tRNA from 1 species
GAGAAGAUGGCUGAGUCUGGUUGAAAGCAAUGGAUUGUAAAUCUAUUUUUCUUAAUGAAACGCAUGGGUUCAAAUCCUAUUCUUCUUC